AGCUGGUGUUGUGAAUCAGGCCGUCAGCAUUAAGCACCCGGCUACUUCACAACACCAGGGU
rnacentral:pre_miRNA from 1 species